rnacentral:misc_RNA from 1 species
GAACGCACCUUGCACCCUUUGGUAUUCCGAAGGGUAUGCCUGUUUGAGUGUCAUUAAAUUCUCAACUUCAAAAGAUUUUUUUCUUUUGAAGCUUGGACUUUGGAGGUUGUUUGCAGGCAAUUAUUAUAUAAAUGUCAGCUCCUCUUAAAAGCAUUAGCAGAACUUUUCAAGUGCUCAGCUAUUGGUUUGAUAAUAAAAUAUCUAUGCCAUGACUGUGAAACUUCAAUUCAAGUUCAGCUUCCAAUGGUCCUUUGGACUGUCUCUUUAAUGAGGCAUACACUUUAAGCUUGACCUCAAAUCAGGUAGGACUACCCGCUGAACUUAAG